rnacentral:rRNA from 1 species
CCUACGGGAGGCAGCAGUGGGGAAUAUUGGACAAUGGGCGCAAGCCUGAUCCAGCAAUACCGCGUGUGUGAAGAAGGCCUGAGGGUUGUAAAGCACUUUCAAUGGGGAGGAAAACCUACCGGCCAAUACCCGGUGGCUUGACAUUACCCCAUACAAGAAGCACCGGCUAACUCCGUGCCAGCAGCCGCGGUAAUACGGAGGGUGCGAGCGUUAAUCGGAAUUACUGGGCGUAAAGCGUGCGUAGGCGGCCCGCCAAGCCAGAUGUGAAAGCCCCGGGCUCAACCUGGGAACUGCAUUUGGAACUGACGGGCUAGAGUUGGGUAGAGGGGGGUCGGAAUUUCAGGUGUAGCGGUGAAAUGCGUAGAGAUCUGAAGGAACACCAGUGGCGAAGGCGGCCCCCUGGACCCAAACUGACGCUGAGGCACGAAAGCGUGGGUAGCAAACAGGAUUAGAUACCCUGGUAGUCCACGCCGUAAACGAUGCCGACUAGCCGUUGGCCCUAUAUACAGGGUUUAGUGGCGCAGCUAACGCAUUAAGUCGGCCGCCUGGGGAUACGGCCGCAGGUUAAACUCAAAUGAAUUGACGG